rnacentral:antisense_RNA from 1 species
GAUAACCAAAAAUGACUCUGGGGUCAAGGGUAGGAUUAGUAACAAGGCGUACACCACCACCUCCAGGUGCCCAGGUGUCAUACAACCCACCCCACAACAUCGCCUUACCGACAAGUAAGAAGGCGGCAACACCCAAAGCAAUCAGGUGAUAUCCCAAAAUGCUAGUGACUUUAUCUUUAUCGCUCCA